GAGCGAACUGAUUAGGAGCUUGCUUCUAUGACGUUAGCGGCGGACGGGUGAGUAACCACGUGGGCAACCUGCCUGUAAGACUGGGAUAACUUCGGGAAACCGAAGCUAAUACCGGAUAGGAUUUUCUCCUUCCAUGGGAGANGGAUNAAAGAUGGUUUCGGCUAUCACUUACAGAAGGGCCCGCGGUGCAAUAGCUAGUUNGUGAGGUAACGGCUCACCCAAGGCAACGAUGCAUAGCCGACCUGAGAGGGUGAUUGGCCCACACUGGGACUNAGACACGGCCCAGACUCCCUACGGGAGGCAGCAGUNGGGAAUUUUUCGCAANGACGAAAGUUAGACGGAGCAACGCCGCGUGAGUGAGAAGGCNUNGGGUGNAAACUUGUGUAGGGAAGAACAAGNCGAGAGNACUNCUGNCCCUGACGGNCCAACCAGAAGCCACGCAACACG
rnacentral:rRNA from 1 species